AAACAGGAUUAGAUACCCUGGUAGUCCACGCCCUAAACGAUGCUGACUAGUUGUUCGGGAUUUACAUCCUGAGUAACGUAGCUAACGCGUGAAGUCAGCCGCCUGGGGAGUACGGUCGCAAGAUUAAAACUCAAAGGAAUUGACGGGGACCCGCACAAGCGGUGGAUGAUGUGGAUUAAUUCGAUGCAACGCGAAAAGCCUUACCUACCCUUGACAUGUCACUAACGAAGUAGAGAUACAUUAGGUGCUCGUAAGAGAAAGUGAACACAGGUGCUGCAUGGCUGUCGUCAGCUCGUGUCGUGAGAUGUUGGGUUAAGUCCCGCAACGAGCGCAACCCUUGUCUUUAGUUGCUACGCAAGAGCACUCUAAAGAGACUGCCGGUGACAAGCCGGAGGAAGGUGGGGAUGACGUCAAGUCCUCAUGGCCCUUAUGGGUAGGGCUUCACACGUCAUACAAUGGUGCAUACAGAGGGUUGCCAACCCGCGAGGGGGAGCUAAUCUCAGAAAAUGCAUCGUAGUCCGGAUCGUAGUCUGCAACUCGACUACGUGAAGCUGGAAUCGCUAGUAAUCGCGGAUCAGAAUGUCGCGGUGAAUACGUUCCCGGGUCUUGUACACACCGCCCGUCAUACCAUGGGAGUGGGUUUUGCCAGAAGCCGUUAGCCUAACC
rnacentral:rRNA from 1 species